rnacentral:miRNA from 1 species
CACCUCAUCAACCGGAAGGGAUUCCUUCCGGUUUAUGAGGUUGUUACACCUCAUCAACCGGAAGGAAUCCCUUCCGGUUGAUGAGGUU